rnacentral:rRNA from 1 species
CAGUCGCCGCGGUAAAACGAAGGGUGCAAGCGUUAAUCGGAAUUACUGGGCGUAAAGCGUGCGUAGGCGGUUUGUUAAGUCUGUUGUGAAAUCCCCGGGCUCAACCUGGGAAUGGCAAUGGAUACUGGCAAGCUAGAGUGUGUCAGAGGAUGGUGGAAUUCCCGGUGUAGCGGUGAAAUGCGUAGAGAUCGGGAGGAACAUCAGUGGCGAAGGCGGCCAUCUGGGACAACACUGACGCUGAGGCACGAAAGCGUGGGGAGCAAACAGGAUUAGAUACCCCUGUAGUCCCUGUCUCUUAUAC